rnacentral:rRNA from 1 species
AUUAAACGCUGGCGGCAUGCCUUACACAUGCAAGUCGAACGGCAGCACGGGGGCAACCCUGGUGGCGAGUGGCGGACGGGUGAGUAAAGCAUCGGAACGUAUCCUGGAGUGGGGGAUAACGUAGCGAAAGUUACGCUAAUACCGCAUAUUCUGUGAGCAGGAAAGCAGGGGAUCGCAAGACCUUGCGCUCUGGGAGCGGCCGAUGUCGGAUUAGCUAGUUGGUGGGGUAAAGGCCUACCAAGGCGACGAUCCGUAGCGGGUCUGAGAGGAUGAUCCGCCACACUGGGACUGAGACACGGCCCAGACUCCUACGGGAGGCAGCAGUGGGGAAUUUUGGACAAUGGGCGCAAGCCUGAUCCAGCAAUGCCGCGUGCAGGAAGAAGGCC